UUUCCGUAGGUGAACCUGCGGAAGGAUCAUUGCCGAAUCCUGCAAAAGCAGACCGCGAACACGUUAAACCAUAUUGGGACCGCGGGUCGGGGGAGACCCUUUGCCCGCGCCCAUCUCUCGCGCAGCGUGCUGCGGGCUAACGAACCCCGGCGCGGCAUGCGCCAAGGAAAACUCACAGAAGCGUCGAUCUCCCAUUGCCCCGUUCGCGGUGUGCGGUGGGGGACGUCUCUCAAUGUCAUAAUGACUCUCGGCAACGGAUAUCUCGGCUCUCGCAUCGAUGAAGAACGUAGCGAAAUGCGAUACUUGGUGUGAAUUGCAGAAUCCCGUGAACCAUCGAGUCUUUGAACGCAAGUUGCGCCCGAAGCCAUUCGGCCGAGGGCACGUCUGCCUGGGCGUCACGCAUCGCGUCGCCUCCCCCACCGCACCCCGGAAAUUGGCCCCCCGUGCGUUUUUUCGCGCGGCCGGCCUAAAUGUGAACCCGUGGCGACUCGCGUCACGACCAGUGGUGGUUGAACACUCAACUCUCUUGCUGUCGUGACGUGAGUUUUCCGUCGGGCUUCGUCGCAGACCCAACGGCGCGAGCUUAUCGCGCCUUCGACCGCGACCCCAGGUCAGGCGGGAUUACCCGCUGAGUUUAA
rnacentral:rRNA from 1 species